AGUGAACGCUGGCGGUAGGCCUAACACAUGCAAGUCGAACGGCAGCACAGUAAGAGCUUGCUCUUACGGGUGGCGAGUGGCGGACGGGUGAGGAAUACAUCGGAAUCUACUUUUUCGUGGGGGAUAACGUAGGGAAACUUACGCUAAUACCGCAUACGACCUACGGGUGAAAGCAGGGGAUCUUCGGACCUUGCGCGAUUGAAUGAGCCGAUGUCGGAUUAGCUAGUUGGCGGGGUAAAGGCCCACCAAGGCGACGAUCCGUAGCUGGUCUGAGAGGAUGAUCAGCCACACUGGAACUGAGACACGGUCCAGACUCCUACGGGAGGCAGCAGUGGGGAAUAUUGGACAAUGGGCGCAAGCCUGAUCCAGCCUUACCGCGUGGGUGAAGAAGGCCUUCGGGUUGUAAAGCCCUUUUGCUGGGAAAGAAAAGCAGCAGGUUAAUACCCCGCUGUUCUGACGGUACCCAAAGAAUAAGCACCGGCUAACUUCGUG
rnacentral:rRNA from 1 species